CAAAACACUCUGCGUGGCUGAAUUCUAAAAUGAAAAAUACUACUCAAGGGGGUAUCUUUCACUAAAGAAAUAAGAAGUGCUUAUCAACUGGUUUUAAGAGUCCUCCACUUUGUGUUAACAUCCGUGACAGUGGAAAGAAUAAAAAAGAGCACCCCGCACCGGGACGAGCCCGCGCCCGCGCCCGCGCCCGCGCCCUCCGAGAGAAUCACGCUGCACAGUUUCACUCCGCAGACCUUGGGCUCUGAGUCACAGAGCAGCCGGCAGGCACUGAAAGCUACACCUUACCCAGGGAUCCGGGACAGCGCGCCCACCAGGCGCCCCGACAUACUGUCCCGGAAAGUUCAUCUGCGUCCCGGCCCGCAUGGCACAGAGUCUCUUUUAGCUUUGUGACUGCUCGCUCCACAUGCUGCCAUUUACAGUACACGGAACACAGCAAGUCUAUUUUUUGUCAAGAUGGGCUGGGUUUCACAGCUCCGCACAUGACAUCCAGUCACUCUUCUUGGCUCUUAAUGCUUCACAUGGUGGAGUCUUGAUUUUUGGCUGAUUGCCUCCAAUAUGUUCAAUUUUGGAUGAUUUUUAGAGUAGGUUUGUGAAACGAGGCCUCAGAAAUGUGAAAAACGUAUAGGUUUCUUUAAAGGGCUUGCGGGACACACUCAGCCUGCUUCCACGAGCACCGUUUGGAAGCCCAAGUGCUCGCUCGCGCCUCCGUGCCCUGGCCCCUGGGCCCUGGACAGGCGUGGACGGCAGAGAGCGGGCGAGGCCCAGGCAGCCCCUGGAGGAGGGCUGUGAGGGGCCGAGGGGACAGAGACGCGCUCCACAUUGCGCUUUAACUGCUGGCGCCGUGUCAGUUAGUUCGCCUACCUGGCACACGCGUCCUUUUACCAACCAUUCAAAAAUUUAAUCGAGAAAACUAUAUUUCUACUGCUAUUGUAAUCUUUAAAAGCGCUUCUGUGUGUCACUUCUGUUUUCCUAACACUAGCAAGUCUCACAGCUGCAGGCUCCAGCCCGGGCAGUGCGCGGCUCCCCGGGCGUGACCGUCGCAGCGUGGGUCUAAGCCUUUCUGCGGCUUCCACAGACACGGGGUUUCCGACCCCACUUUCCACCGGCCCAGCCUCCUGCAGACGCAGGCCUAGGAAUCCCUUACCUGUGUGAGCGACGCCCUCUGGGGAUCCGAGCUUCCCAGGACGAUGUCCAGGAGCCGCUCGACUGAGCUCCUCAGGACGUAGUCAAAAGCCGAGACGCCUGGUUAGGACUCGUCCCUACCCUUGCCGCCAGGACACUAGACCGAAGUAGCUAAUAGUUUAGUCAAAGAGCAGAGGUCAUCGGGAGAUCUACCUGAUCAGACUACGCUUGACUCUUUCAAAUAUUUGAAACUAUCAUCACAUACAAAAACGGUCUAAAAGAC
rnacentral:lncRNA from 1 species